rnacentral:rRNA from 1 species
UACGUAGGGGGGCAAGCGUUGUCCGGAAUUAUUGGGCGUAAAGCGCGCGCAGGCGGUUCUUUAAGUCUGGUGUCUAAGUGCGGGGCUCAACCCCGUGUCGCACUGGAAACUGGGGAACUUGAGUGCAGAAGAGGAGAGCGGAAUUCCACGUGUAGCGGUGAAAUGCGUAGAGAUCCGAAGGAACACCAGAGGCGAAGGCGGCCGGCUGGACCUGACCUGACGCUGAGGCACGAAGGCGUGGGGAGCGAACGGG